CAUUAACGUCAUUGCCAAUUUUGUGUGUGAGUGAAAAUUAUUCCUAAUUUUCUUACAAAUUAUCAUUUCUCCUGAAAUAAAUGGUAUAGUGUUGAAAAAUCAAUAUGGAUAAAAGGUCGAGAUGUUCAAAUGCGGGCAAUUUGCUCGCCAAAGUACUUGAUGAAGAGGAAGAAGACGAAUUUUAUGCGACAACCUUUGAUUAUAAAUAAAUGGCGGCAACGUACGGAGGAUUCCACGAAACUGAGGAAGACAAUGAUUACAUGAAACGUCAACGUCUAUCCGUCGAGCCAUUGGCGUUCCAAGUUAGCUGUGGGCGGCAAGCUGGUUGGUGCUCCAGAGAAGGUUGAGGAAUAUGACAGUGUCCCACUAGACCUGUCUGUUGAGCUUAAGUCGAUAAGACAGUACAGCAGUGAAGUCAGCUGAGACUCAGCGGAGGAUGUAGAUUUAGUUCUACCGAACUGAAGAAAAGAUAGCCAAAGAAGGAGGAAGAUCGUAUGUCCACGCAGGAGGAAUUUUUGGCUGAAGCUGUGAUUACGGAGGAGGGAAAACCUUAGAGAGAUUUAAACAAAUUGAGUUGGAAAAGAAGAAGAUACGGCCUAUAAAGACAACUAUCACCGGUCCUAUUAUUCGAUACCAUUCCUUUUAUUGAAGAAAUUGCUGACGAGGAUGAAAAACCUAACUUGUUCGAAGAUAAUAUAGGUGCUAAUAUCGAAAUUGAAAAUGAAAAUCAGCCCUCUACACAGACCCUUUGAGCAAGCUGCCGUGUCCCAGCGUUUAAGCCUUGCGUACCAUCCGCGAAAAUUACCAGCAGCUAGAAGCUUGAGGUGAUAACAACGACCCCAACGUCGACCGCUCAAGUGGCUGAACAUUCCUACGUAAAAAUAAAUAUCUAGUAAACACUUGAUAUAGUUAUCGGCACGGAUAUUGAGCCCUGACCUUCACCUGCGCAGAAGCGAUUUAUUAGUUUAUUGCCUUAUGUGUACAGUGCGCAAAGCAAUCCCCUCUCUUCCGCCCAGAGCUCAAUAUCCGUGCCAGUAACUAUACGUCAAUGUACAUAUCAAGCUAUACAAAACUAUCAAAGCUGACCGUUCUAUUUGUAGCUAGCUAGGUCAUAUGAAGUCCAACACAAACUGGAUUUGUAUAGCUUGAUGUGCAACCAAUGUUUGUUUAGUUUGCCAUUUAUAUCGGGCUUAAAAGCGCGUAUUUUAUAUUAAUAUAUUCAUAUACACAACUUAAAAAUAUACUAUAAUUUAGCUUAAAGAGUAUUAAGUGCCACAGAACCGCACGGAGUGAAAUAGUGCGUAGUGAAGUGUUACUAACAUAGAUUUAAGUUUUUUAUAUACUAACAGUGUUGUGUAAUAUAAUAUGUAUGUUAGUCUUUAAGGUAUAUAUCUAUGGGCCUAAGCAGCCUGAAAAUAGAGAUUUGAUUUGGUUACAUAACAAAGAUAUUUUUUAUGUAAUACUCUUUAAGCUAAAUUAUAGUAUAUUUUUUUUCGUAGAGACAGUGGAAUACAAUAACGUCGAAAUUCGGCGUGCAUUGUAAGGUAGUCUUAGUUUUAUUUUAUGCCGCCAAGAUGUUUUAGAUCGGAGCGCAUUUGUCCAACAUGUUGGGGCAACUUUAGAUAGUGUGCAAUAUUACCUUGUAGCGCAGAUUUAUUUAUUUAUUUAAGCUUUAUUUGUCUUCAUAACAGUACAUUUGUUUAUAGAAUUUAACUUUUUUAUCAUUUAUUUGUUAUUGUUAUGGGUAAAACCCUCUAGGGUAUGGGUAUGUGGGGUAUAGGUACCCUCUAGGGUAAAAGCCUCCUCCAACUUAAGCCACUGGUCCCGGUCCUUGGCAGUUAGUAUCCACUCAUCUGCUAUACUCUUGAUGUCAUCUACCCAUCCCUUUCUUGGUCGACCUUUGUUCCUCUUACCUAUAGGGCCUUUCCACUUUGUAGUAGUAUAGGUCCAUCUUCUGUCGUGGUAUCUGGCUAUGUGUCCUGCCCAUUUCCAUUUUUGUCUUAGACUGUGUUGUAGUGCGUCUGUUAUUUUUGUUCUUCCUCCGAGAUAGAAAAAAGAAAAUCCAGAAAACACGAAAUACAGACAUCCGAUGUCUGUAUUUCGUGUUUUCUGGAUUUUCCUUAAUUUUAAGAUGCUUCUCUCCAUGGCAUGUUGGCAGGACUGAAUUUUGUUUUUUAACUUUUCUGUGUAGGUUUGGCUUGCAUAAGUUAGGCUUGGGAGAAUUCAUGAAUCCAUUAUUAUUUUUUUCAUCUGUAGACUGUAUUUCCCCUGAAGGAUUUCCUUAUGUGACCAGUAUUUCCUCCAUGCGAUAUUUAUUUUUCUAUCUAUUUCGUUUUCAUUGCAAUUUGAUUCGAAAGAAAUCUGUUUUCCUUAAUAUACAUAGUCUUUUAGCGCAGAUAGGCGUAGUUAAAUCAAACUCCACAGUCGAGGUAAGAUUGGUAUAUUUUAACUAAAAUGCCUGCCUACUUAAAUGCUAAAACAGUGAUUCCGAAUCCGUAGUGCACGGCGUGAAUCUAUCACAAUCCGCGCCGGUCAAUGAGAACGCACGAACGCGCCAUAUAAAUAUGCUAGCUUGCUAGGUUGGCCCCGCAUCAGUAGGAUUCGCCGCCCUAGGCAUGCCUUCCUAGAACCUGACGAUGAGAUAACUGUCCUCCAAGAGAGUAGUAAACUCACUAGCACCCUACACAAACACAAACCGCGUUCGUACAGACCUCGUCGCCGAGGUCCGCCGGGACGUCCCGUUCUUUGUCUUCCCUCCGAGAAGUACUCGGAGAUCGGGCUGGUGGCGAUGUCUGAUGCCGGUGGAGCUGGAGCGGAUGCAUGCGGGUUGUGUUCAUCCAUGUUGAUCGUGUACGCCGGUUUUAGUCGGUCGAUCGAGAUAGUGCUGGAUGUUCCUGGUAGCUGGAUGGUGAAAUACUUGUCGUUGCGUUCGAUGACCUCGUACUGACCUCUGUAUGAUUUUUUUCUUUUUUUUUCUGCACUAGCUCCGCUAUUGACAGUCGAUGGCGCCUAUUAGAAUCUAGUUCUCGUUCAUACCAGUUCUCUCUUUUAUGCCUCUCGCACCUCUGCACGGUUGUUGCAGUGGUUUGCGGACGGCGUCGUCGCGUAGUAGCACGUGACUGCAUGCUUUUAGAUCGUUGUUGUCACUGUUGUUGUUGUUUUCAACCUUUUGAUUUGAACCGCUGCAGUCCACGGCCUUGUGACCGGGCUGACCGCAGCGGAAACAGAGGUCGCUGCGGUCGACCUCCGAGGUGCAACGGACACCCACAUGAUGCCAGACUUGGCAUCGGAAGCACCUCAGCGGUCUGGGGUCAAGCAGCUUGACUUGCGCCGACACCCAGCCAACCAGCAGUCUUCGGCCGUCUACGAUGGUCUUGGCCGUGACAGGGGGCUUGCUCGGCGGUCCCCUUCUGGGUGCUCGUUCGGCUUCCUGCUCUCUCAUUUUUCUCAAUUCCGCCCGGAGACUUUUGUUCUCCUUCAGGAGCAACUCCAGGGCGGCCGUGAGACGAGCCACCUCUUCUUGUAGCUUGACCAGAUCGCUCUUUGGAGCCUGGCCAAAGCUUACUUCAGCUGCCGCAAUUAUAGAGGCGGAUGCCGAAACUAUCGCCCUCUGCCGAUUGGCCUUGAGGCGCUUUAGGGACACAUCCCUGAACGCGGCCGCCACCGUCUUGGCGAAAUUAGCCUUACGCUCCUGGUCGGAGCCGACGGCCGCCGCGUCCUCCUCGGAAGAGCUUUAUUGAGCUGCUCCUCCGUUGUCCUUGGGUGCCUCAGCUUCCCUCUCUUUAACGGUCUCCGGUCGGCCUUUUUGGCCGAGGCCCCGCGGCCAUCGGAGGAAGACCCCUGGUCGUCCUUCUUCCUCAUAAGGAACGCCUUGAGCCGGUGCUCCUUCUUGCUUUGGGGGACCCUGAGAUCACCCGCAGCUCCAUCGCUGGAUGCGGACUCGCAAUCCGAG